GGUCAGGUAUGAUGUCCAAGAAUUGGAUUCUCCAAAACUGAUCGUAGUUGGGAUAAUAACCUGCAAUUGUGUUAUUUGAACCAGGAAUUCCUCGUAAUUACUUAUCAGAAAAAAGUAAUGAAUAUGU
rnacentral:rRNA from 1 species